rnacentral:rRNA from 1 species
GGAGGAAAGCAGGGGAUCGUAAGACCUUGCGUUAAUGGAGCGGCCGAUAUCUGAUUAGCUUGUUGGUGAGGUAAAGGCUCACCAAGGCGACGAUCAGUAGCUGGUUUGAGAGAACGACCAGCCACACUGGAACUGAGACACGGUCCAGACUCCUACGGGAGGCAGCAGUGGGGAAUUUUGGACAAUGGGGGCAACCCUGAUCCAGCCAUUCCGCGUGAGUGAAGAAGGCCUUCGGGUUGUAAAGCUCUUUCGCAAGGGAAGAAAACUUAUGAUCGAAUAAAUCAUGAGGUUGACGGUACCUUGAUAAGAAGCACCGGCUAACUACGUGCCAGCAGCCGCGGUAAUACGUAGGGUGCGAGCGUUAAUCGGAAUUACUGGGCGUAAAGCGUGCGCAGGCGGUUUUGUAAGUCGGAUGUGAAAUCCCCGGGCUCAACCUGGGAACUGCGUUUGAAACUACAAAGCUAG